GUCAACGACCACCUCUUGAAGGAGAGGGCUUGAGGUGCCGCACCGCGCGCUGACGGCCCCGCGUUGACCAGCCCAAGUCGAUCAUCUUGAAGGAGGUGCAUUCGAUUGACUACGUUUCACGUAGGUCAGCAGACCCACCAGUCCGUGCUUCCUCAGCGGGCUGCUCUGGAAUUCGCGUCAGCAGACACGCCCGAGGGUGGGCACGAAACGGGACGCGGACACCGCCUCAGCACGGUAACCGGUGUGGAACAUGGGCGAGGGGAGAUCGC
rfam:Streptosporangium roseum DSM 43021, complete genome.